UGUAGGGAAAACUAUGGUGGCGCCAUACGCACCCGUCGUCGUCGCAUGUUUGAGGUCUCGGAGGAACCAGUACAGUUUCAUGUUAGUGGGAUUAAGGAUUGUACUUGGCUCCUUAAAACUGUGUGUGAUAAAUGAGUGUUACAUUUUUGGAGUUUUAUCAUGCAGUCAUCAACUCUCAGGGGACGCGGCUUCCAUACUAAACGGAGCUGAACUGAAAGACGGUUCUUACAGGUGACACGGUACUCCAACUGCGACUGUUUACUAAAUAAAUAUUGGUGUAGGAGGUUUAAAUAUCAGGGACAUAAACAUUACGAAAACCGGAGGAAAACUAUUUGGAGACUUUCGAAAUCUUGGUACCAGAGAAGGAUGGAACAAGUGACACAGACACACAGGCAGCUAUACCCACGAGAGGCGAUUUUCACUUGAUAUUUAUAACCUCAAGAUGUAAAAUUGACAUCAAAGCUGCCUGAUGUCGGGCUUUUGUUGGCGGUGGCGGUAACCGAACCAGAAAACUCAGGACUGAUUACGCCACCGCUGGAUCCUAACUGGAGCCGAUGGACAAAUAAUAAAAUGUUAAAU